UCAGUAACAAAGUUUCAUCCUUGUGUCCAUCAAGCAACAAGGAGAAUCUUUGUCACUUGGU
rnacentral:pre_miRNA from 1 species